UGCUUGGGGAACUGCCCAGUCGAGGGGGACAACUAUUGGAAACGAUAGCUAAUACCGCAUACGCCCUACGGGGAAAGGAGGGGACCUUCGGGCCUUUCGCGAUUGGAUGUACCCAAGUGGGAUUAGCUAGUUGGUGAGGUAAUGGCUCACCAAGGCGACGAUCCCUAGCUGGUUUGAGAGGAUGAUCAGCCACACUGGAACUGAGACACGGUCCAGACUCCUACGGGAGGCAGCAGUGGGGAAUAUUGCACAAUGGAGGAAACUCUGAUGCAGCCAUGCCGCGUGUAUGAAGAAGGCCUU
rnacentral:rRNA from 1 species